rnacentral:rRNA from 1 species
UGGGGAAUAUUGCACAAUGGGCGAAAGCCUGAUGCAGCGACGCCGCGUGAGGGAUGACGGCCUUCGGGUUGUAAACCUCUUUCAGCAGGGACGAAGCGCAAGUGACGGUACCUGCAGAAGAAGCACCGGCUAACUACGUGCCAGCAGCCGCGGUAAUACGUAGGGUGCAAGCGUUGUCCGGAAUUACUGGGCGUAAAGAGUUCGUAGGCGGUUUGUCGCGUCGUUUGUGAAAACCAGCAGCUCAACUGCUGGCUUGCAGGCGAUACGGGCAGACUUGAGUACUGCAGGGGAGACUGGAAUUCCUGGUGUAGCGGUGAAAUGCGCAGAUAUCGGGAUGAACACCGGUGGCGAAGGCGGGUCUCUGGGCAGUAACUGACGCUGAGGAACGAAAGCGUGGGUAGCUAACAGG